rnacentral:rRNA from 1 species
UACGUAGGGAGCAAGCGUUGUCCGGAUUUAUUGGGCGUAAAGCGCACGCAGGCGGUCUGUUGCGUCAUGAGUGACAGGUGUCGGCUUAACUGACACAGGCCUUGUGAUACGGGCAGACUUGAGGACUUGAGAGGGAGACGGAAUUCCGGGUGGAGCGGUGAAAUGCGUAGAGAUCCGGAGGAACACCGAAGGCGUAGGCAGUCUCCUGGCAAGUAUCUGACGCUCAGGUGCGAAAGCUCGGGGAG